UGGAUCAUACAACUGCUAUGAAUACAUUCGACUCGUUUGCUUCCAUCAAUCGGCAAUGGUGAUUUUCACUUACAUAGAGUACUAAUUUGAUUAAGGAAAAAUCAUGUUCAUUCAUAAUUUUCAUUUUAAAAGUGUAUUGAUUCCUUCUGCAAAUCCAUACUGUCAUGCCUAUUACCCAAUAUCGUCAACGCGGAUAGUUCGUUAGUCGAAAAUACUGAAUAAUUAAACAAACCAAAUGGCAUCACUGGUGGUUCUUUUUUCCACUCCGCUAAACUGUCAUCUCAAACAAAAACAAAUGGAUCAUACUGCUAUGAAUACAUUCGACUCGUUUGCUUCCAUCAAUCGGUAAGUGAGAAAGAUGAUUUCUCCCAUCAGUGCGGAUUUCCACUUCUAUCACAGCAGCCAACAACAUCCGUUUUCCUGCAGCAGUAACCUAUAACCCCUGUUGGCAAUGCCGGGGGACAGCAUCAACAGCAGCAGCAGCAGAAUUUGACCAUGGUAUGGUAUUGCGAAGAACUUUCCCCAUUAGAGGUUCCGUGCUUCGCGCACAUUCAAAAUCCUCUUCAGACACGAAAACUCAACGACAAGGAGGUAUUUAUCAACUUGCUCAGCUGAAUUACCACCCGGAGGAACCCGAAUGCACUGAUUCCGUUGUAUAGUAGAAUGAAAAUAGGCGAGGUAAGCGAACGUAAUCGCAUGAUAUUUUAAUAGUUCGCAUUUUUAUCCGGAUCAUACAACUGCUAUGAAUACAUCCGACUCAAUCAAUCGGCGAGUGAGAAAGAUGAUUUCCCUCAUCACCACAUUGCUUAUUUCCACUUCUGUCACGCCAGCCAACAGCAUCAGCUUUCCCGCAGCAGUAUCCUUUAAGUCCAGGGUGCUAUUCCUGGGAACAGCAUCAUCAGUAACAGCAGCAGGACCUGGCCAUCGAUAGUAUUUCGAGCAAUUUUCCCCAUCGGAGAUCCCGUGCUUCACGCACAUUGAAGAAACCUCCUCAGCCACAUAUGUGUGUCAAGGAGAAAAAGGAGCUGGAUUCGAAUCGUCAAUCCAGACAACCCGAAUGCACCGAUUGCAUUAUAUAUCUUGUUUAUAUUUUAUAUGCAUUUUGUGUUUUUUUGAAUAAAAUGAUUAAAAUCGA